rnacentral:rRNA from 1 species
UGAGGAAUAUUGGUCAAUGGCCGUAAGGCUGAACCAGCCAAGUCGCGUGAAGGAAGAAGGAUCUAUGGUUUGUAAACUUCUUUUAUAGGGGAAUAAAGGUAUCCACGUGUGGAUAUUUGCAUGUACCCUAUGAAUAAGCAUCGGCUAACUCCGUGCCAGCAGCCGCGGUAAUACGGAGGAUGCGAGCGUUAUCCGGAUUUAUUGGGUUUAAAGGGUGCGUAGGUUGUUUUUUAAGUCAGCGGUGAAAGUUUGUGGCUCAACCAUAAAAUUGCCGUUGAAACUGGAAGACUUGAGUGUGUUUGA